GACGAACGCUGGCGGCGUGCCUAACACAUGCAAGUCGAGCGAAGUCAGUAAGAGGAAGUUUUCGGAUGGAAACUUAUUGAUUUAGCGGCGGACGGGUGAGUAACGCGUGAGCGACCAACCUUGCACAGGGGGAUAACGGACCGCAAGGUUCACUAAUACCGCAUGAGACCACGGUGUUGCAUGACACAGGGGUCAAAGGAGCAAUCCGGUGCAAGACGGGCUCGCGUCCGAUUAGGUAGUUGGAGGGGUAACGGCCCACCAAGCCUAUGAUCGGUAGCCGACCUGAGAGGGUGAUCGGCAACAUUGGAACUGAGAUACGGUCCAAACUCCUACGGGAGGCAGCAGUGGGGAAUAUUGGGCAAUGGGGGAAACCCUGACCCAGCAACGCCGCGUGAAGGAAGAAGGUUUUCGGAUUGUAAACUUCUGUCCUUGGUGAAGAGAAGAAGACGGUAGCCAAGGAGGAAGCCCCGGCUAACUACGUGCCAGCCGCCGCGGUAA
rnacentral:rRNA from 1 species